UACGUAGGAGGCAAGCGUUGUCCGGAUUUAUUGGGCGUAAAGAGCGUGUAGGCGGCCAGAUAGGUCUGUUGUGAAAACUCGAGGCUCAACCUCGAGACGCCGAUGGAAACCAUUUGGCUAGAGUCCGGAAGAGGAGAGUGGAAUUCCUGGUGUAGCGGUGAAAUGCGCAGAUAUCAGGAAGAACACCCGUGGCUAAGGCGGCUCUCUAGUACGGUACUGACGCUGAGACGCGAAAGCGUGGGGAGCGAACAGG
rnacentral:rRNA from 1 species